AUUGAACGCUGGCGGCAGGCCUAACACAUGCAAGUCGAACGAGUGGCGGACGGGUGAGUAAUGUCUGGGAAACUGCCCGAUGGAGGGGGGUCACUCCUGGAAACGGUAGCUAAUACCGCAUACCAUCGUAUGUGCCCCGAUGGGCUUAGCUGGUAGGUGAGGUAACGGCGCACCUAGGCGACGCGCCCUAGCGGGUCUGAGAGGAUGACAAGCCAAACGGGAAAUGAGACACGGUCCAGACUCCUACGGUAGGCAGCAGUGGGGAAUAUUGGAAAAUGGGCGCAACCCUGAUGCAGCCAUGCCGCGUGUAUGAAGAAGGCCUUCGGGUUGUAAAGUACUUUCGGCAGAGAGGCGGUACCCGCAGAAGAAGCACCGGCUAACUACGGGCCAGCAGCCGCGGUAAUAC
rnacentral:rRNA from 1 species